rnacentral:rRNA from 1 species
UACGGGGGGGGCAAGCGUUGUUCGGAAUUACUGGGCGUAAAGGGCUCGUAGGCGGCCAACUAAGUCAGACGUGAAAUCCCUCGGCUUAACCGGGGAACUGCGUCUGAUACUGGAUGGCUUGAGUUUGGGAGAGGGAUGCGGAAUUCCAGGUGUAGCGGUGAAAUGCGUAGAGAUGCGGAGGAACACCGAUGGCGAAGGCAGCCCCCCUGGGCUGACACUGACGCUCAGGCACGAAAGCGUGGGGAGCAAACAGG